rnacentral:rRNA from 1 species
UACGGGGGGGGCAAGCGUUGUUCGGAAUUACUGGGCGUAAAGGGUGCGUAGGCGGUUCGCUAAGUUGGAUGUGAAAACUCUGGGCUCAACCCAGAGCCUGCAUCCAAUACUGACGAGCUAGAGUUCUGGAGGGGGUAGCGGAAUUCCUGGUGUAGCGGUGAAAUGCGUAGAUAUCAGGAGGAACACCGGUGGCGAAGGCGGCUACCUGGACAGAGUCUGACGCUGAGGCACGAAAGCGUGGGUAGCAAACAGG